rnacentral:rRNA from 1 species
CUACGGGGCGCAGCAGUGAGGAAUAUUGCACAAUGGGGGGAACCCUGAUGCAGCAACGCCGCGUGGAGGAUGACGCAUUUCGGUGUGUAAACUCCUUUUAUGUGUCAAGAAAAUGACGGUAGCAUAUGAAUAAGCACCGGCUAACUCCGUGCCAGCAGCCGCGGUAAUACGGAGGGUGCAAGCGUUACUCGGAAUCACUGGGCGUAAAGGACGCGUAGGCGGGUUGGAAAGUCAGGUGUGAAAUCCUACAGCUUAACUGUAGAACUGCACUUGAAACUUCUAAUCUAGAGUAUGGGAGGGGGAGAGGGAAUUAGUGGUGUAGGGGUAAAAUCCGUAGAUAUCACUAGGAAUACCUAAAGCGAAGGCGAUCUCCUGGAACGUUACUGACGCUGAGGCGUGAAAGCGUGGGGAGCAAACAGGAUUAGAUACCCCUGUAGUC